AAAAAAAAAAGUGAUCUAGCCAUGAGCAGGUUGAAGUCGGGGUAAGACCCGAUGGAGGACCGAACCGACCCCCGUUGAAACGUUGGCGGAUGACUUGUGGCUAGGGGUGAAAUUCCAAUCGAACCCGGAGAUAGCUGGUUCUCCCCGAAAUAGCUUUAGGGCUAGCGUCGCAGCGAGAGAGCCGUGAAGGUAGAGCACUGAAUAUGCGAUGGCCGCAUCCCGCGGUACUGAGCAUAAUCAAACUCCGAAUGUCACGGUGUCAUCUGCGGCAGUCAGACGGCGAGUGAUAAGGUCCGUCGUCAAGAGGGAAACAGCCCAGACCAUCAGCUAAGGUCCCAAAGUGCAUGCUAAGUGGAAAAGGAAGUGGAGACGUGCAGACAACUAGGAGGUUGGCUCAGAAGCAGCCAUCCUUCAAAGAGUGCGUAACAGCUCACUAGUCGAAUGACUCUGCGCCGAUAAUUUACCGGGGCUAAGCAUGACACCGAAGCUAUGGACAGGAAUGUGGUAGGGGAGCAUUGCAUGCAGCGGAGAAGCAUGACCGAAAGGGCAUGUGGAGCGCAUGGAAGAGAGAAUGCCGGCGUGAGUAGCGGCACGUGGGUGAGAAUCCCACGCACCGAUGGCCCAAGGUCUCCAGAGGAAGGCUCGUCCUCUCUGGGAUAGUCGGGACCUAAGGCGAGGCCGAAAGGCGUAGCCGAUGGACGACGGGUGGAUAUUCCCGUACCCGAUGUGUGGCGAUGGAGUGACGGAGAAGGCUCAGGCAACCAGCUGGUGGAAUAGCUGGGGCAAGCGAGAUACCUGCGCACCAGGGAAAUCCGGUGCGCAUAAGGGGAAGGCGCGAUGCAUACGGAAAGGUGCGGCAAGUACGGAUAAGCUGAGAGCAGGCUUCCAGGAAGAGCUUCUAGCACAACACACAUCGGCCCGUACUGAAAAUGGACACACAUGGGCAAGGAGAGAAUCCUGAGGUGAGCGAGAGAACUAUAGCUAAGGAACUCUGCAAAAUGACCCCGUAACCUAGGGAGAAGGGGUGCUCCAGAAAUGGAGCCGCAGUAAAACGGCCCAAGCGACUGUUUACCAAAAACACAGCUCUCUGCGAAGGCGCAAGCCGAAGUAUAGGGGGUGACGCCUGCCCGGUGCUGGAAGGUCAAGGGGAGCUGUCAGCGCAAGCGAAGCAGCGAGCCGAAGCCCCAGUAAACGGCGGCCGUAACUAUAACGGUCCUAAGGUAGCGAAAUUCCUUGUCGGGCAAGUUCCGACCUGCACGAAUGGUGUAAUGAUCCGGACGCUGUCUCAACCAUGAGC
rnacentral:rRNA from 1 species